rnacentral:rRNA from 1 species
GACGAACGCUGGCGGCGUGCUUAACACAUGCAAGUCGAGCGGAAAGGCCACUUCGGUGGUACUCGAGCGGCGAACGGGUGAGUAACACGUGAGUAAUCUGCCCUUGGCUUCGGGAUAGCCACCGGAAACGGUGAUUAAUACCGGAUACGACCACUCCAGGCAUCUGGUGGUGGUGGAAAGUUUUUCGGCCAGGGAUGUGCUCGCGGCCUAUCAGCUUGAUGGUGAGGUAAUGGCUCACCAUGGCUUCGACGGGUAGCCGGCCUGAGAGGGUGACCGGUCACACUGGGACUGAGACACGGCCCAGACUCCUACGGGAGGCAGCAGUGGGGAAUAUUGGACAAUGGGCGGAAGCCUGAUCCAGCAACGCCGCGUGAGGGAUGACGGCCUUCGGGUUGUAAACCUCUUACGGUGGGGACGAAGCGCAAGUGACGGUACCCACUAAAGAAGCACCGGCCAACUACGUGC